rnacentral:snoRNA from 8 species
AACGCAGGCAGCCUCUGCUGAUGACCCUUCUUCCUGAGUGGCUCUGGUGAUGAGCAAACUGAGCCUCUAAGAAGUUGACUGAAGGGGCUGCUUCCUC